rnacentral:rRNA from 1 species
CACGUAGGGCGCAAGCGUUGUCCGGAAUUAUUGGGCGUAAAGAGCUCGUAGGCGGUCUGUUACGUCUGCUGUGAAAACCCGGGGCUUAACCCUGGGCUUGCAGUGGAUACGGGCAGACUAGAGGCAGGUAGGGGAGAAUGGAAUUCCCGGUGUAGCGGUGAAAUGCGCAGAUAUCGGGAGGAACACCAGUGGCGAAGGCGGAUCUCUGGACAGCUCCUGACGCUGAGGCGCGAAGGCUAGGGGAGCAAACGGG